ensembl:lncRNA
ACAUUACAGCACCUGUCAUGACAUCCAGUUCAUCUCUUCUGCCUUCAUAGGUCUGAGAGGAUAUCAGACACUGAUUAGCCCAGCAGGAACACAGAUCAUCAUUAACUCAGGCUCAUCUGGGGUCAGCUGAGGUGCAGCCCUUGUUGCUUUCAGUGGAAAGGAGUUAUUUCUUAAUAUCAUGCUCAGAACUCAAGGUAUUCAGCUGACAGAAUUGGACUGGUUGACUCGAGCAGUGCUGUUGUUAUCUAGAGCCUGCACAUGUCUGCAUGUGGACAAAACCCAUCGGUGUAACCACUGGAGCGGCAGCCAUCUUAUCACAAACAGAACAAGCGCUGCUAGGACUCGUUCUUCCCCUGUUCCCACACUGGAGCCCAGCAGUCAUGUUAAAUGGAUAUGACGUAAGCAUCUCGGCUCUUGACACCUCUCUCUUAAGGUCUGAGUUUACAGGACUGGGAAUUAGACAUCAUCCUUCAGAACGCACUAUCAGCCCGACACACCGUACAUGUUCAGCAUGGCAUGAUAAUCUCUCUGUGUGUGUUAACAUGACAUUAAAGCAAUUGUGCUUUAUUAAUCUCCGAUAAAUCCUUAUAAAUCUUAAUCGAAGUUCAAAACAUUCCCAAUCCAAAAAGUUCCCAAUGCUCCAUCUACUGUCAGAGCUGCUUAUACAAAGGAAUUCCUUUUUUUUAAUGUUAUAUGCCCAUACAUGGUUGGAUUUAAAUGUGGUAAAAUGUGUUAUACUGAUCUGUUAGUACUGCAGUCCUAUUGCUAGCAGACAGCAUUAUCAAAUCACUUAAAAUAUGUGACCACUGAAAAAAA